rnacentral:rRNA from 1 species
GACAGAGGGUGCAAACGUUGUUCGGAAUCACUGGGCGUAAAGCGCGUGUAGGCGGCUUCUCAAGUCGGGUGUGAAAUCCCAGGGCUCAACCCUGGAAGUGCAUUCGAAACUGGGUAGCUAGAGUACUGGAGAGGAAGGUGGAAUUCUUGGUGUAGAGGUGAAAUUCGUAGAUAUCAAGCGGAACACCGGUGGCGAAGGCGGCCUUCUGGACAGAUACUGACGCUGAGACGCGAAAGCGUGGGGAGCAAACAGG